GAUGAAGAACGUAGUGAAAUGCGAUAAGUAAUGUGAAUUGCAGAAUUCAGUGAAUCAUCGAAUCUUUGAACGCACAUUGCGCCCGCCAGUAUUCUGGCGGGCAUGCCUGUUCGAGCGUCAUUACAACCCUCAGGCCCCCGGGCCUGGCGUUGGGGAUCGGCGGAGCCCCCCGUGGGCACACGCCGUCCCCCAAAUGCAGUGGCGGUCCCGCCGCAGCUUCCAUCGCGUAGUAGCUAACACCUCGCGACUGGAGAGCGGCGCGGCCACGCCGUAAAACACCCAACUCUUCCGAAGUUGACCUCGAAUCAGGUAGGAAUACCCGCUGAACUUAAGCAUAUCAAUAAGCGGAGGA
rnacentral:misc_RNA from 1 species